CGGCGUGCCUAACACAUGCAAGUCGAGCGGAGUUAACAAGAGGAAGUUUCGGAUGGAAUUUGUAAUUUAGCGGCGGACGGGAGAGUAACGCGUGAGCGACCAACCUUGCACAGGGGGAUAACGGACCGAAAGGUUCACUAAUACCGCAUGAGACCACGGUGUUGCAUGACACAGAGGUCAAAGGAGCAAUCCGGUGCAAGACGGGCUCGCGUCCGAUUAGGUAGUUGGUGGGGUAAUGGCCCACCAAGCCUAUGAUCGGUAGCCGACCUGAGAGGGUGAUCGGCCACAUUGGAACUGAGAUACGGUCCAAACUCCUACGGGAGGCAGCAGUGGGGAAUAUUGGGCAAAUGGGGGAAACCCUGACCCAGCAACGCCGCGUGAAGGAAGAAGGUUUUCGGAUUGUAAACUUCUGUCCUUGGUGAAGAGAAGAAGACGGUAGCCAAGGAGGAAGCCCCGGCUAACUACGUGCCAGCAGCCGC
rnacentral:rRNA from 1 species